rnacentral:rRNA from 1 species
AACGUAGGACGCAAGCGUUAUCCGGAGUUACUGGGCGUAAAGCGCGUGCAGGCGGUCUUGCCAGUCUGAUGUGAAAUCUCUCCGCUCAACGGGGAGCAGCCAUUGGAAACUACAAGACUGGAGUCUGACAGAGGUAGGCGGAAUUCCGGGUGGAGUGGUGAAAUGCGUAGAGAUCCGGAGGAAUACCGGUGGCGAAAGCGACUCUCUGGACGGCAACUGACGCUGAGGCACGAAAGCGUGGGGAGCAAACAGG